GGCUCUGUGGUUUAACCCACAGCACCACCCGCAUCCCAGUCGUAUGAUAAUAAGGCCUUAAAGCGGCAGUCCUGUGGUCUGGUUCUUAGCACUCUACCUGCUCUCUGUUAGUUCUCCCUAGGUUUGUUGUUGGCAUUGACUGCCAGGCAUGGGCUUCUGGCGUGAACUGGUUGGACACAGAAGAAUGAUGGGAGGAACCAGCUGGGGAACCCCCAGGAGAAGAAGGCUCAGAGCCAUGGGAUUGGUGGUGGAAUGACGAUGAGUGGUCAGAGGGAGAAGGCUGGGAGGACGUGCUGGAAACUGAAGAGGUAACAGUGCUUAGUGAGUGGAGGGAAUCUGCGGCAGAGGAGUCCAGAAGUUGAAGCAGGAGAGGAGGGAGUCCAAGAGGAAGAGAUGAAUCUGGCUGGUGGAGGCAUGGAUGUCUCCCCCUCCUGCUGCAACAAGCUUUCCUCCCCCCCCCCCGGUCUCCCAGAACCAGGAUAGGCAUGAAGAGUGUGGAGGAGAAGUUAGCUUCACAUAGGUGCAGUCUCAGAUUGUUUGGGGAAACCAUGGAGAGGUGGGGACUUAAGCAGCUGUGGGAGAUGAGGGCCUUCAGUCUCAGCAACUGCUUCAUAGGAGCAAGACCUGCUUGAGUUGAGUUGCUGUGCUCAUUAGGCCUGACACUCCUGUGUGAAUCCCAUUUUUGGUAAUAAACACCUGCUGGCUCGCUCCUGUCAGCUCCCCCCCCCCCGUGUGUGUAGAUCACCACAACAUACAUUCUCAGGAGUUUCUUCAUCUGGAGAUUCAAAUUCAGGAGUCCUUGUAUUGAUGGGUCCUGGCUUAUGAGCUCUCUGGUGUAAUGUUGCUGCCUGGGUUGGUGUGUGCCACCUCUGCCUCCUGUGCUGCUGUUCCACCUUACCUGGCUGGUCCCUCCUCACCUGUCAAAAUUGGGAAACAAGCUGUUGCUCAGGGUGAGGGUCAUGACACCUACCAAUUAAACUAAAUAAAGCCGGCAACUCUGAAAUAUUUGUGAUCAGCACUGCACACAGUCCACUUUCAUGCGGAGCUUGGUAAAACCGUACAUUACAACCCUCCUGGCUCUGCUUUUGCCUGGUUUCCAAAUGAAAAAUGGAAGCUUUCUCUUAGCAUCUUUUACCGCAAAUGGGCUCCGUGACGCUCAUGCAUUUUUCAGAAUACUAUUAAACCAGGGCUGUAGCUACAUGUUUUACCAUCUGACUUCAUGCUGACCACUUACAUCAGAAUUCUCUACAGAAGGUUUCCCUUUUGCUCAACUUGGAACACAUUUCAGAAUAAUCGUGAGUACGAUGAUAAUUAUGAGGAUCUAUCUGGGAUCCAGACUAGUCUUGGCAACUAAAAAGAGUCCACAGUGUAGAGAACAGGAAAUUAAUCUCACCCUUUGCUUCUCCACCUGGGUCAGAUCUUGUUAGUUGCUACAGGUUUUCUUUAUCUCCCCCCCCCCCAGCUUUUUAAAGGGAGACUUAGAGGUGGCACAAGCUGGGGAGCACUGUCAUGUCCUGCAUCACCUGUGAGUUUGUGAACUGAUGUCCAAAUAUCCUCUGGAAGUUACUGAUUGCUGGGAAAUACUACUGUUCUUUAGUAUCUUCCCCUCUAAUCUUGGGUAAGUGCUUCCUGUGUUGUGCAUAUUUACUCCUGAUUUAUGCCUGCAGCUGAGUACCUGAAAACAAAUGCACUCAUAUGUGUAACCCAUGGAACUGCAUAUGCAAGUAGUAAAAACUUUGAUUUUUUUAAAAACUUACAUGGAACACAUAAGAGCUCAAGAAAUUAAAGAGAAGAAAAGAGCAACCAAAGCAGCACUUAAGAGUUCAAGGACAUAGGCUGGUAUUUCAAAAUAUGUACUGAAAUAAAUGUUGGAUGUUGAUUCCUAGAAGCCUCAUACAAAGCAUUGCCCUUUUGAUUGUUAAAAUAAAAUGGAAUAUGUUAUAUUA